GGGCUGGCGGGCGCUGGCGGGUCCCGGCUUCGUUUUGUCCUGGGUGCUGCCGGGGGCAGCCAGGACCGGGACCCGGGACUCGGGACCCGAGGCGGAGGGGAAGGGCCGGGCCCGGCUCCAGCCGGGGCUGCUGCGUGGCCCGAGCUCCCCUUCGCCGCUGACCCGCACCGAGCGGAUCAGCCCAGCCCCACCGCACCGGGCGGGUUCGCGUUCCGGGCCGAGCCUCCAGGGAGCUGCAUCCGAGACUCCUCAGUCCUGCCUCCCGAAGGCUGAAAGAGUUUUCCAGGGGAUGUGCAUGGACAUGAUGUCGCCGCCACAGCCAGCCCGUAGCAGGGGGCUCACAUGUCACUCCUUGUCGCGGGGCACGGGGGCACCCGGUGGGACCCUCAGCGAGCGGUGCCGUGAGAGAGCCGGGUGUCUGCUCUGCCACAGCCGUCCAUCCUUGGCUGCUCGUGCGUGUGGCCCUCUGGGAUGAGAGCCGCAGAUCGUGGUCCCCUCCGCAGCACAGCGGGUUUGGGUUGGUGUUUGCAGGUGCAGCUGGCCAGGCUCACCUGGCACUGGUGGCUCCCUGCUCCUGGCUCCAGCAGCACCGGCACAGGUGUCAGGAGGGGCUGAGGCUGCUGGGCAGCACAGGGAACCAGCACAGAGCCGGGGGGAGCCCAGAUGGGGGCACAGGACCAGCCAUGCCUGGGGCAGGCCUGAGCUGUGGUUACCAACAGUUCCCUUUUGGCAAAGAGUUGUGGUGGACAUACAUGCGGGAGUGGUAUGCGGUGUGGGGGUGGGCUGGUUUACAUGGAUGUUUCUGAGAUCAAACUGGCUGAAACAUUUAUUUUUUCCCACUACACUUCUUUCAGAGAUUGACCUAAAAAACACCAGUAAAAUAACUGGAAGAUGGAAGAUGUUGUUUCUUAUCAUGGUCCAAAAAAAUGGUGAAAAUUCCUUAUCCCUGCAACAACACUGGGCUCUCUCUCGACUUGGCACAUACACUUGGUUCUUUGGCUACCAGAUCUGAAGAAUCCAUCUACUGCCCCUACGUAUCCUGGACAUCUGUUGUUUUGGGAGGCAGAGCAUGCGGAGUGCUGGGCUGUUUGGCUCUGGGGAGGUCACCUGACAGGUCUUCAGAAAGUGCACCAACACAAUUCACAGAUCAACUUAAAGAAAGCAAGAGGCAUUACCAGAAACAGUGCAAAAGAUGUCAUGAAUCCCUCCUUCGUCAGCUCCCACGUCCCACCAUACUCCUCCUCAUCUAUCUGCUGGAAGCUGCUGAAGUAGAGGUACAGAACACCAGCAUUGAUCAGGCAGAAUCUGCAGGGAAGAGGUUAGGAACCAUCAUUCAGUGGCACAGGCUGCAGGUACCCCACAUACCAUACAGUGAAAUAUCCUUCAUCAGCAGACAGGAAGCAAAGAGUAAUUCUUUUCCUGCAAUGCUUGCCAGGCAGCUCAGUCACUUCCUUGAAAGAGCCCCUGCAGGCUAUUGAGACCUUGGCUAGGCAGAGACAUUUGCAAACAGAGACUCCCAGAGCAGAUCCAGCACCUUCCCAGAGCCAGUGUCCAGAGAGCAGGGCUGUGUCCCCACCUCUGCUGUCCCUGUUCCAGGCACAUGUCAGGGCCAAACAGAUUUUCAGUUCAUAACUCACUGCAGCCUUCAGACACCUCUGGGGAGGUGACCCAGCUCACAUGUCUUGUGGGGAUUCAAUGCACACACCCCCUUCCAGGCACUGCCUUCCCCACUUCAGCCCUGACUGGCUGAAAGAGCCACGUCAGGAAGCCAGGAGUGCUGCCGGAGCUCUGCCGGUGCCACUCUGCCAGGGCCACUCUGCCUGCUUGGGACCUGCGGCCUCUCAUGUUCUGAGCAAACCUUUUCUUUCACGGAGCAGCUGCCCCUCUUGUCUGCUGAUAGAACCUCCUGUCUGAGCAGGGCUCCUGGCUCAAAGCCCAGGAGGUGCACACCUUCCCCCCAUGGAUCCUUCCUGGGUGAUCACACCAGGAACCCCGCUCCCAGCCCUUCCCACACACGCAGGACACACAUACCAGGUAACUGAAACUCUAGUUCCCUUCUUCUGCCAUUGCCCUUUUUAACAACAAAACAAAUAAUAAUUUUAAAAAGUAUUAAUCAGGCUGAGGGGAAAGAAACUGAUGGACAUGUUAUGAUUUGGAUGAAUUUCAUGGCAACCAACAGUCUGGAAUGCAACGUUGGCUGUGAGACCCAGAGCAGGCAGAGCCUGCCUUUAGCCAAGCCCACUGUUCACAGCACAGCCUCAAACAGGCUCCCAGGCCAGGCCAAAUGUGGGAAAGUACACGAGACAGAAAAGGAAAUAAACCUUACACUGCUAUUCCCACGAAUCCCUUCAGUGGAACUACUCCCCAGAUGAUUCCCAAAAUAACCGCAAUGAUCUGCCGGAACCAGUAGAUCACAUCUAAAAACUCGUCCUGAGGAGAUAAAGCACAAGAAAAACGUUGGCAUUUAUUAAAGCACCACACAAUUAACAGGUGAAAAUUCAGCAUACUUGGAUCCCCACUCAGAGUAUAAAAUACUGCACUCAGAACAGAUAAAGCAGCUUAGGGCAUCAUGCACCCUGGACUUCUCAGCUUCCACAUUAAACACACAGCUUUGUCCUCCGACGGGCCAACUGCAUUGGCAAACAAGUCUCUAGUCCCCUUAUUUACUAAAGGUGCAAUAAUAAUCCCCCAGAAUAAAAGUUUAAAGAACUGUUUAUGCUUUAA